rnacentral:lncRNA from 1 species
CGCCCUCUGGCCCCUGGUGAGGGGAGAUCGAGAACUACUCGGCCCAGAGAGCCAAGCGCGGGGCGGGCUCGCCUCUUAGGAGUGCCCCGCUAACAGUCUGGACCAAGCGAGAGCCAGCAUCCAGAGCCAGGGAGUGCUCGGUGCCCCCUCCCCAUGCUACCUCCACGAUGCCCCCG